rnacentral:rRNA from 1 species
UACGUAGGGGGCUAGCGUUGUCCGGAAUCAUUGGGCGUAAAGCGCGCGUAGGCGGUCCGGUAAGUCCGCUGUGAAAGCCGGGGGCUCAACCCUCGAAUGCCGGUGGAUACUGUCGGGCUAGAGUGCGGAAGAGGCGAGUGGAAUUCCUGGUGUAGCGGUGAAAUGCGCAGAUAUCAGGAGGAACACCAAUUGCGAAGGCAGCUCGCUGGGACGUUACUGACGCUGAGACGCGAAAGCGUGGGGAGCGAACAGG